GGAGUAUGGACCGUGUCUCAGUUCCAUUGUGGGGGACCUUCCUCUCAGAACCCCUACCCAUCGUCGCCUCGGUGGGCCGUUACCCCGCCGACUAGCUAAUGGGACGCGAGCCAAUCCGUGACCACCAAGGUUUUCAAUCAACCACCAUGCGAUGACUGAUCAUAUGGGGGGUUAGGCGACGUUUCCAUCGGUUAUCCCCCGGUCACGGGCAUGUCGCUCACGCGUUACGCACCCGUGCGCCGGUCGCCAUCAUCGGUUGCAAGCAACCGACAUGCUGCCCCUCGACUUGCAUGUGUUAAGCCUGUAGCUAGCGUUCAUC
rnacentral:rRNA from 1 species